rnacentral:rRNA from 1 species
AUGAAUUAUGCUUAUGGAGAUGAACUUGCUAUAGUUCCUUAUGUUAAACAUGAAAUUUUUGCUAUUGCACACACGCAUGAUAGUCCUAUUAUCUUUUUGAAUUCUCCCGAUUAUACUAUAUCAGAGAAGUUUGCACUUAUUAAGGAUUAUAUUGAUGGGUUGCCUUUUACCGUUGCCCAUGAUGAUUUCAAUAAAUAUAAUAUGCAUGUGCUUGCUGCUCCUACUUGCAAUUAUUAUAAGAUAGGAACUAUAUCUCCACCUCUCUAUGUUUCUAAUAUGAUAAAAUUGCAAGAAACUGUUUAUAUUAUGCAUUGGCCUUUACUAGGUGUGCAUGAAUUGUUCUUUUAUGACAUGCCGAUGCAUAGGAAGAGAGUUACACUUCGUCAUUGCUUGAUAUUUGUUGCUUUGUGCUCACUACUAAAUUACAAAUCAUUGUUAAUUAAAAUUGGCUUUGAUAUACCUUGGGAUCCGGGUGGAUUCACUACUUGA